AACGAACGCUGGCGGCAGGCCUAACACAUGCAAGUCGAGCGAGAUCUUCGGGUCUAGCGGCGGACGGGUGAGUAACGCGUGGGAAUAUGCCUCUUGGUACGGAAUAGCCUCGGGAAACUGGGAGUAAUACCGUAUGUGCCCUUUGGGGGAAAGAUUUAUCGCCAAGAGAUUAGCCCGCGUUGGAUUAGGUAGUUGGUGGGGUAAUGGCCUACCAAGCCGACGAUCCAUAGCUGGUUUGAGAGGAUGAUCAGCCACACUGGGACUGAGACACGGCCCAGACUCCUACAGGAGGCAGCAGUGGGGAAUCUUAGACAAUGGGGGCAACCCUGAUCUAGCCAUGCCGCGUGAGUGAUGAAGGCCUUAGGGUUGUAAAGCUCUUUCAGCUGGGAAGAUAAUGACGGUACCAGCAGAAGAAGCCCCGGCUAACUCCGUG
rnacentral:rRNA from 1 species